UCAACGCUGGCGGCGUGCCUAACACAUGCAAGUCGAACGAGAAAGGGGGACUUGGUCCCUGAGUACAGUGGCGCACGGGUGAGUAACACGUGACUUAUCUACCCUCGAGUGGGGAAGUAACUUCGGGAAACCGAGGCUAAUACCGCAUAAUACCCACGGGUCAAAGGAGCAAUUCGCUUGAGGAGGAGGUCGCGGCCGAUUAGUUAGUUGGCGGGGUAAUGGCCCACCAAGACAGUGAUCGGUAUCCGGCCUGAGAGGGCGCACGGACACACUGGAACUGAAACACGGUCCAGACUCCUACGGGAGGCAGCAGUGGGGAAUUUUGCGCAAUGGGGGAAACCCUGACGCAGCAACGCCGCGUGGAGGAUGAAGUCUCUUGGGACGUAAACUCCUUUCGAUCGGGACGAUUAUGACGGUACCGGAAGAAGAAGCCCCGGCUAACUUCGUG
rnacentral:rRNA from 1 species